CCUACGGGGGGCAGCAGUGAGGAAUAUUGGUCAAUGGACGCAAGUCUGAACCAGCCAAGUAGCGUGCAGGAUGACGGCCCUCCGGGUUGUAAACUGCUUUUAGUUGGGAAUAAAAGGGGGCUCGUGAGCCCCGUAUUGUAUGUACCAUCAGAAAAAGGACCGGCGAAUUCCGUGCCAGCAGCCGCGGGAAUACGGAAGGUCCGGGCUUUAUCCGGAUUUAUGGGGUUGAAAGGGAGCGUAGGCCGGCUUUUAAGUCAGCUGUGACAGUCCGCGGCGCAACCGUGGAAUUGCAGUUUAAACGGGCGGCCUUGAGUGCACUCCGGGCUGCCGGAAUUCUUGUUGUCGCCGUGA
rnacentral:rRNA from 1 species